UACAGAGGGUGCAAGCGUUGUUCGGAAUUAUUGGGCGUAAAGGGCGCGUAGGCGGUGCCACAAGUCACCUGUGAAAUCUCCGGGCUUAACUCGGAGCCUGCAGGCGAAACUGUGGUGCUGGAGUGUGGGAGAGGCUGGUGGAAUUCCCGGAGUAGUGGUGAAAUGCGUAGAGAUCGGGAGGAACACCGGUGGCGAAGGCGGCCAGCUGGCGCUGACCUGACGCUGAGGCGCGAAGGCGUGGGGAGCGAACGGG
rnacentral:rRNA from 1 species